rnacentral:lncRNA from 1 species
GUCUGAUAAGAAACAUUUACAAUCUAUUCUCUCUGAAGCCUGCUACCUGGAGGCUUCACCUACAUGAUAAAGCCUUGGUCUCCACAACCCCUUAUCUUAACCCAGAUAUUUCUUUCUAUUGAUUCUAAGUCUUUAGACAAUAACUAAACUCUUUCAGAGAAAUAAAAGACAAAAGAAAUAAUUCAACAAUAUUACAAAGAAAUGAAGGGCAUGAAUUCCCAAUUUCAAGGGACCCAUUGAGAACCCAGCAUAACAGGCAAAAUAAAGAUACACACCAAAGCACAUUAUUAUUAAAUUUCAGAACAUUGGAGACAGAAAGGACCUAACAGAGAGGAAAAUAAAAUCACUGGAAAGGAUAAAGAAUCGGAAUGGUAUCUGACUUCUCAACAGCGACUCUGGUAGUAGAAGUCAAUAAAGAAAUGUUUUUUAAAACAAAAAUGUUUUUAAGUUCACAUUUUAUUUAGGUUGAAAUAAGCUGUACAAAAUUGGUAUUUCUGACCAAAAAUAACAGCCAUAUUUUCUAUCAUAUUUAUAGAUAAACCACAAAACACUUAUUGUAGUCAGUUUUUCAGGUUUUGAUUUUAAUCUAGAUAAGGAAGUAGACAUAGUUAUGAAAAAAGAAGAGAACAGACACAUCAGCUGUCUGUAUCCAGGGCUUCUGAUUCUGUCUUGACCAUGAAACUAAAGUGUUCCACAUACACCUGAUGAAAAGCUUACGACACAGGAAGACAUCAGCUCAACAAAGGAAUGCAAAUAGCAACAAGCAGAAGGAGAACAAUGAUGCCAGACUCUUCCAUUCAAACUUGUUCUUCUAGGAUCACUUGAUAAAGAUCAGACCUACAAUGCCACCCUUGUUGGGUGAGCUCACUGCUUCUCUCACUCUCUGGUAAUUCCCAUAACUGUGCAUUAAAGGGUUUUUUUUGUUUUUGUUUUUGUUUUUGUUUUCUUUUGUUUUUGAGACUCUGUCGCCAGGCUGGAGUGCAGUGGUGUGAUCUCGGCUCACUGCAACCUCUGCCUCCUGGGUUCUAGCGAUUCUCCUGCCUCAGCCUCCCGAGUAGCUGGAACUACAGACACGCGCCACCACGUCCGGCUAAUUUUUGUAUUUUUUAGUAGAGACGGGGUUUCGCCAUAUUGGCCAGGAUGGUCUCAAACUCCUGACCUCAUGAUCUGCCUGCCUCGGCCCCCCCAAAGUGUUG